rnacentral:rRNA from 1 species
AUUGCCUCAGUAACGGCGAGUGAAGCGGCAAGAGCUCAACUUUGGAAUCGCUCCGGCGAGUUGUAGUCUGGAGGUGGCCACCACGAGGUGUUCUAGCAGCAGGCAAGUCCUUUGGAACAAGGCGCCAGCGAGGGUGACAGCCCCGUACCUGCUUUUGCUAGUGCUUCCUGUGGCCCACCGACGAGUCGAGUUGUUUGGGAAUGCAGCUCUAAGUGGGUGGUAAAUUCCAUCUAAGGCUAAAUAUUGGCGAGAGACCGAUAGCGAACAAGUACAGUGAUGGAAAGAUGAAAAGCACUUUGAAAAGAGAGUGAAACAGUACGUGAAAUUGUUGAAAGGGAAGGGCUUGCACCCAGACACGGUUUCGGCCGGGCCAGCAUCAAGUAGAACGGGGUUAAAAGACUUGGGGAAUGUAGCUACUUCGGUAGUGUUAUAGCCCUUGGUGAUGACCCCUGUUUUGCUUGAGGACAGCGGUCUCUAGGAUGCUGGCGCAAUGGUUGCAAGCCACCCGUCUUGAAACACGGACCAAGGAGUCUAACGUCUAUGCGAGUGUACGGGUGAAAAACCCCUGCGCGGAAUGAAAGUAAGAGGUUGGAACCCUCUCGGGGGUGCACAAUCGACCGACCCAGAAGUGCUCGGACGGGUUUGAGUAGGAGCAUAGCUGUUGGGACCCGAAAGAUGGUGAACUAUACCUGAAUAGGGUGAAGCCAGAGGAAACUCUGGUGGAGGCUCGUAGCGGUUCUGACGUGCAAAUCGAUCGUCGAAUUUGGGUAUAG